GCCGGAGUGGCGGAACUGGCAGACGCGCACGACUCAAAAUCGUGUAUCCUUCGGGAUAUGUGGGUUCGAUUCCCACCUUCGGCA
rnacentral:tRNA from 1 species